GAUGAACGCUGGCGGCGUGCCUAACACAUGCAAGUCGAGCGAUUCUCUUCGGAGAAGAGCGGCGGGCGGGUGAGUAACGCGUGGGUAACCUGCCCUGUACACACGGAUAACAUACCGAAAGGUAUGCUAAUACGGGAUAAUAUGCUUUAGUCGCAUGGCUAAAGUAUCAAAGCUCCGGCGGUACAGGAUGGACCCGCGUCUGAUUAGCUAGUUGGUAAGGUAACGGCUUACCAAGGCGACGAUCAGUAGCCGACCUGAGAGGGUGAUCGGCCACAUUGGAACUGAGACACGGUCCAAACUCCUACGGGAGGCAGCAGUGGGGAAUAUUGCACAAUGGGCGAAAGCCUGAUGCAGCAACGCCGCGUGAGCGAUGAAGGCCUUCGGGUCGUAAAGCUCUGUCCUCAAGGAAGAUAAUGACGGUACUUGAGGAGGAAGCCCCGGCUAACUACGUGCCAGCCGCCGCGGUAA
rnacentral:rRNA from 1 species